rnacentral:snRNA from 1 species
GUGCUUGCUUCAUCAGCACAUAAACUGAAAUUGGACAAUACAGAGGUUAGCAUGGCUCCCACACAAGUGUAAAACACAGUCAUGAAGUGUUUUGUUUUGCU